rnacentral:rRNA from 1 species
AGAGUUUGAUCAUGGCUCAGGAUGAACGCUAGCUACAGGCUUAACACAUGCAAGUCGAGGGGCAGCAUUUUAGUUUGCUUGCAAACUAAAGAUGGCGACCGGCGCACGGGUGAGUAACACGUAUCCAACCUGCCGAUAACUCGGGGAUAGCCUUUCGAAAGAAAGAUUAAUAUCCGAUAGUAUAUUAAAACCGCAUGGUUUUACUAUUAAAGAAUUUCGGUUAUCGAUGGGGAUGCGUUCCAUUAGUUUGUUGGCGGGGUAACGGCCACCAAGACUACGAUGGAUAGGGGGUUCUGAGAGGAAGGUCCCCCCACAUUGGAACUGAGACACGGUCCAAACACCUACGGGAGGCA